CAGUCGAGCGAAGCGAUAAGGUGAAAUUUUUCGGAAUGAAGCCAUAUUGACUUAUCGGCGGACGGGUGAGUAACGCGUGGGUAACCUGCCUCAUACAGGGGGAUAACAGUUAGAAAUGACUGCUAAUACCGCAUAAGCGCACGGGACUGCAUGGUCCAGUGUGAAAAACCGAGGUGGUAUGAGAUGGACCCGCGUCUGAUUAGCUGGUUGGCGGGGUAACGGCCCACCAAGGCGACGAUCAGUAGCCGACCUGAGAGGGUGGCCGGCCACAUUGGGACUGAGACACGGCCCAAACUCCUACGGGAGGCAGCAGUGGGGAAUAUUGCACAAUGGGGGAAACCCUGAUGCAGCAACGCCGCGUGAGUGAAGAAGUAUUUCGGUAUGUAAAGCUCUAUCAGCAGGGAAGAGAAUGACGGUACCUGACUAAGAAGCCCCGGCUAACUACGUGCCAGCAGCCGCGGUAAUACGUAGGGGGCGAGCGUUAUCCGGAUUUACUGGGUGUAAAGGGAGCGUAGACGGUUCUGCAAGUCUGAAGUGAAAGCCCGUGGCUUAACCGCGGAACGGCUUUGGAAACUGUGGAACUGGAGUGCUGGAGAGGCAAGCGGAAUUCCUAGUGUAGCGGUGAAAUGCGUAGAUAUUAGGAGGAACACCAGUGGCGAAGGCGGCUUGCUGGACAGUAACUGACGUUGAGGCUCGAAAGCGUGGGGAGCAAACAGGAUUAGAUACCCUGGUAGUCCACGCGGUAAACGAUGAAUGCUAGGUGUCGGGGAGCAAAGCUCUUCGGUGCCGCCGCAAACGCAGUAAGCAUUCCACCUGGGGAGUACGUUCGCAAGAAUGAAACUCAAAGGAAUUGACGGG
rnacentral:rRNA from 1 species